AACGGAACUUCUACGCCUUCGCAAAUGGCCCGCGCCYUCUUUACCUUCUUCAGUCGCUUUCGGGUGCGUGUCCGAGUCAAUGAGCCGCCCGCCGAGUCAAAAUCGCGUUCUUGACUCGUCCAUUUCCCCCCUCUUUCCCCGAAUAACCUACCAAUUUUGUCCCUCUCCUUCAUAUAAAGCCCCAAUUCCUCCGUUCUCCAAUCUCCAAUCUCCAAAUUCAACUUCAGUUUCGGCUUCUCUGUUGUUUUGAAUCCUAUUCGCAAUCGAUAGAAGAGAAACAUUUUCUAAAUUUUCAGAKAUCGUUCGCCUAGAUUCAGUCGGAAAAGAAAAUAUGAGUUCGAUGAAGCUAUUCGCCGUUCCGAUCRCCGGAUUACUCAUGUUCUUGACUCUUCUGCAACUAGCCUACGGGCACUCGCACGAUAUUUCGCCGGCGCCGGCGGGUCCUUCGAACGACGGCGCUGCAAUUGACCAAGGGAUUGCUUACGUUCUUCUUCUGGUGGCCCUCGYCGUUACUUACAUCGUCCAUUGAUAAUUUUUAUGGAGUUAUCAGAUAUGUAAGAGAUUGAAGAUUUAUAAUUUGCCAUUUUUUGUAGUUUUUUCUCCAUUUAGCGGUGAAGAAAUUGCGGUGGAAAUUUGGAAUAUAUUUAUUCUUUUUACUUAUAAUUAUAAUUUUAUUGGUUGAUUCUGA